AAAACUUUUGUUGUUCACUUAAUAUUCACAAAAUGACAUAUUUUGUAAAUUAUUGCUUAGUAAAUACCAUAACAAGUUGCAAGUAGUUUAUUGGAAUUUUUAGGUUAAAAUGUCAUAAAGUUUUACAUUUCAUAUUCAGAGUUGAUAUUUGGGUGGCUUCAGAACAGAGUCAAAUUUACAAAAGAUCUUCUGGAAUAGGAACUUCAGUUCUAUUUUGUUGGUUUUCAGAAGCGGGUCCGUGAUUAAGAGGGAUGGCCAGGGACAUUCACAUUGUGCAGCUAGGGGUGAAAUUCUUGGAUUAGCACAAGACAGCCUAGAGCAAAAGCAUUUGCCAGUAAUUUUUUCAUUAAUCAAGAACGAAAGUCCGAGGUUUGAAGAUGAUCAGAUGUCAUUGUAGUUCCAACCUUAAACAGUGCCAACUGGCAAUAAAUUUUUGGGGGAGUCUCUGUUGCACAACCAGUUAGCAUGAUUGGCUGUUAACCAAAAGGCUGCUGGUU
rnacentral:ncRNA from 1 species